rnacentral:tRNA from 1 species
ACGGGAACUGUAACGGAACGCACUAGUAAUGCGUAGGCCAGGCCAGGGGUUCAAUUCCCUUCACCA